rnacentral:misc_RNA from 1 species
GAAAUGCGAUAGAUGGUGUGAAUUGCAGAACGGCGAAUCAUUGAGUUUUUGAACGCAGAUUGCGCUGCCCGGAAGCGGGCAGGACGGGUGUUUGAGCGUUGGAUGGAUUCUGUUUCCCGGUUGGUUGAUGGGGGGCAGGAGGUGAGGCGAGGCGGGCGUUCUAGGAUGCGCGCGCGGCUUGAAAAGGAUGGCGCGGCGGGAGCAUGCGACUCGGGGCAGGGGUAAGAGUCUGCUGGGCAUGCUGCCGCGAGCAACAACAACAACAACAACCUCAAAUCAGCCGAGAUGACCCGCUGAACUUAA